rnacentral:rRNA from 1 species
CACUACGGUGCUGAAGCAACAAAUGCCCUGCUUCCAGGAAAAGCCUCUAAGCAUCAGGUAACAUCAAAUCGUACCCCAAACCGACACAGGUGGUCAGGUAGAGAAUACCAAGGCGCUUGAGAGAACUCGGGUGAAGGAACUAGGCAAAAUGGUGCCGUAACUUCGGGAGAAGGCACGCUGAUAUGUAGGUGAAGUCCCUCGCGGAUGGAGCUGAAAUCAGUCGAAGAUACCAGCUGGCUGCAACUGUUUAUUAAAAACACAGCACUGUGCAAACACGAAAGUGGACGUAUACGGUGUGACGCCUGCCCGGUGCCGGAAGGUUAAUUGAUGGGGUUAGCCGCAAGGCGAAGCUCUUGAUCGAAGCCCCGGUAAACGGCGGCCGUAACUAUAACGGUCCUAAGGUAGCGAAAUUCCUUGUCGGGUAAGUUCCGACCUGCACGAAUGGCGUAAUGAUGGCCAGGCUGUCUCCACCCGAGACUCAGUGAAAUUGAACUCGCUGUGAAGAUGCAGUGUACCCGCGGCAAGACGGAAAGACCCCGUGAACCUUUACUAUAGCUUGACACUGAACAUUGAGCCUUGAUGUGUAGGAUAGGUGGGAGGCUUAGAAGUGUGGACGCCAGUCUGCAUGGAGCCGACCUUGAAAUACCACCCUUUAAUGUUUGAUGUUCUAACGUUGACCCGUAAUCCGGGUUGCGGACAGUGUCUGGUGGGUAGUUUGACUGGGGCGGUCUCCUCCUAAAGAGUAACGGAGGAGCACGAAGGUUGGCUAAUCCUGGUCGGACAUCAGGAGGUUAGUGCAAUGGCAUAAGCCAGCUUGACUGCGAGCGUGACGGCGCGAGCAGGUGCGAAAGCAGGUCAUAGUGAUCCGGUGGUUCUGAAUGGAAGGGCCAUCGCUCAACGGAUAAAAGGUACUCCGGGGAUAACAGGCUGAUACCGCCCAAGAGUUCAUAUCGACGGCGGUGUUUGGCACCUCGAUGUCGGCUCAUCACAUCCUGGGGCUGAAGUAGGUCCCAAGGGUAUGGCUGUUCGCCAUUUAAAGUGGUACGCGAGCUGGGUUUAGAACGUCGUGAGACAGUUCGGUCCCUAUCUGCCGUGGGCGCUGGAGAACUGAGGGGGGCUGCUCCUAGUACGAGAGGACCGGAGUGGACGCAUCACUGGUGUUCGGGUUGUCAUGCCAAUGGCACUGCCCGGUAGCUAAAUGCGGAAGAGAUAAGUGCUGAAAGCAUCUAAGCACGAAACUUGCC